AUUAACAAAGCAAAAACAACUAACAAUAUCCCUUUCUCUCUUUCCACGCACAACAUACCCCUCCCUCUCUUCACACAAUCUCCCCUCUACUUCCACCAUACCCCUUCAUCGAACCACCUAAACCAUCAUCGAACCUUCAUCAACUUCCGCGAUUUCCGCAUACCCAACCUUCACCAAUUCAUCACUGUAACCUCACCUACUGAACAACAACCCAUUACAUUGUUCCUUCCGAUUAGAAUCGUCCUUCGAUCCAUCUCUGUAACAGCUCCACAUCACAACUACCGAACCAAUGUUAACGCCGCUCACCUCCGACUCUACGGUCUGCUCCGCCUCUAUUUCUUCCGUCAAACAGCAUACACUGAAUCUCCAUCAAUCCUGCAACAACUUCAGCACCUUUGUUCUGAUAAUUUCUCUACCAUCCGGCUACUUUCAAUUUCUUUUGCUUGUAAUUGUGAUUGUUGUGAAAAUCUCUAUGAAAUUGGGUUUGAUUGUGAAAUUCGAUUGCAAUAG